rnacentral:tRNA from 1 species
CGGGGCGUGGCGCAGCCUGGUAGCGCAUACGGUUUGGGUCCGUAAGGUCGCUGGUUCGAAUCCAGUCGCCCCGA